UACGUAGGGUGCGAGCGUUAAUCGGAAUUACUGGGCGUAAAGCGUGCGCAGGCGGUCCGUUGUGUCCGAUGUGAAAGCCCCGGGCUUAACCUGGGAAUGGCAUGGGAAACUGGCGGGCUGGAGUGUGGCAGAGGGGGGUGGAAUUCCGCGUGUAGCAGUGAAAUGCGUAGAGAUGCGGAGGAACACCGAUGGCGAAGGCAGCCCCCUGGGCUGACACUGACGCUCAGGCACGAAAGCGUGGGGAGCAAACAGG
rnacentral:rRNA from 1 species